UUGGAGGCCAGUUCUCAGCUGUCAGUGGUUUCCGUUGGCUGGCUGUUAUCAGUUCCUCACAAUGCAGCUGCUAAUUACAGUAAUAGGACAACUCUCUCUUCAGUCUGAGUGAGCCGCACUGACUUAAUCCUCUCCCUCCAAAAUCAGCAAUAGCAUCACCUGGAUCAUCCAGAAGCAGAGAGGAAGGAAAAAAAGGAGUGUUUGCUCAGCCUGUAGGAGGUUGGAAAGUUUGUCAUGGGACUCCUCAGAGCCUGCUGUCUCUCAGCUGCUGCGGGACUUCAAGGAUACUAGCCAAGAGGCUGAGAAAGACUUGGCUUCUGGGACCAAGGUAAUAAUGGAUGUAGUGGCAGUAAAAUGAAGGCAAAUCAGAAAAAAACUGUGAAUCUGCUAUUAACACCUGCAAAUGCACGGCGAUUAUGUUUUUCACUCAUAAAUGGAGAUUUGUGAGACCCAUGAUUUGUGAGAGCAGAGU